rnacentral:lncRNA from 1 species
AUGACUCAAUUCAACAUGUUCUCUCACUUUGUCACAGCCCACCCCCAGAGGAGCCCCUCCCCCUCCAAUCAUUCUGAUGUUGGGGGUGAGUCCUGGCAGGAUAGCUCACCUUCAUCUCCAAGGAACCAGUCCAUAAGGAGCCCCUCUCCCUCAUCCAGUCAUUUUGGGAACCACAGAGGAGGCUCCCAUUCUGGUGGUCCUCCUAGAGCCUCAAACAGCCAGUCCAUAGGGACCCCCUCUCCCUCAUCCAGUCAUUCCAGGAACCACAGAGGAGGCUCUCGUCCUGGUGGUUCUUCUCGAGCCUCAAACGGUAAGUUGACCUAAAUUAACUGAAGCAAAGAAUGCUGUCUAAACGUUACUGUAUAGCACACAAGCCCAACAUGUUCCCUGUCUCUCACUCUUGUCACAGGCCAGUCCAUAAGGACCCCCUCUCCCUCAUCCAGUCAUUCUGGGAACCACAGAGGAGGCUCCCAUUCUGGUGGUCCUCCUAGAGCCUCAAACAGUAAGUUGGCCUAAAUGAACUGAAGCAAAGAAUGCUGUCUGAACGUUACUGUAUAGCACACAAGCCCAACAUGUUCCCCGUCUCUCACUCUUGUCACAGGCCAGUCCAUAGGGACCCCCUCUCCCUCAUCCAGUCAUUCCAGGAACCACAGAGGAGGCUCUCGUCCUGGUGGUUCUUCUCGAGCCUCAAACGGUAAGUUGACCUAAAUUAACUGAAGCAAAGAAUGCUGUCUAAACGUUACUGUAUAGCACACAAGCCCAACAUGUUCCCUGUCUCUCACUCUUGUCACAGGCCAGUCCAUAAGGACCCCCUCUCCCUCAUCCAGUCAUUCUGGGAACCACAGAGGAGGCUCCCAUUCUGGUGGUCCUCCUAGAGCCUCAAACAGUAAGUUGGCCUAAAUGAACUGAAGCAAAGAAUGCUGUCUGAACGUUACUGUAUAGCACACAAGCCCAACAUGUUCCCCGUCUCUCACUCUUGUCACAGGCCAGUCCAUAAGGACCCCCUCUCCCUCAUCCAGUCAUUCCGGGAACCACAGAGGAGGCUCUCGUCCUGGUGGUUCUUCUCGAGCCUCAAACGGUAAGUUGGCCUAAAUGAACUGAAGCAAAGAAUGCUGUCUGAACGUUACUGUAUAGCACACAAGCCCAACAUGUUCCCUGUCUCUCACUCUUGUCACAGGCCAGUCCAUAAGGACCCCCUCUCUCUCAUCCAGUCAUUCCAGGAACCACAGAGGAGGCUCCCAUUCUGGUGGUUCUUCCCGAAGUUCAAACAGUAAGUUGACCUAAAUGAAUUGAAGGAAAGAAUGCCGUUUGAACCUUAUUGUCUAGCACAGUGGCACAGUGGUUCACAAAGUGCGGUCCAGGGACCACUGGUUGCUUAAGAUGUUGUUCUUUGAAUACAAAGAGGCUCCCGUUCUGGUGGUUCUCCUCGAGCCUCAAACAGUAAGUAAAUGAACUGAAGCAAAAGAUGCUGUCUGAACGUUACUGUCUAGAACACAACCCCAAUAUGUUCCCU